AGUCACCAUCCAGCAGGGGUAGAGGACCAGCCCAGGAUAGCAUGGCCGCGUGGGUGUGGACUUUCUUAAUGGUGGUGAUGGGCGUGACUGUAGAGGCCGCCUUGCUAACAGAAGCACCUUUAAUUACCAUGGACCCAGACUUGCUGCCCGCCAUGCCCUCAAUCACUGAUCUGAUGGAUGACCCAGAGGAACAGCCGCUCAACACGCUCGCUGACCUCGACAACUAUGUGGCAGAGCUGCACAGGAAAGCUCAAAUGAUUCUCUCUAAGGCUUUUGCAGCACGAAUUCGCAGGCGCCGACGAGGUA